rnacentral:rRNA from 1 species
UACGAAGGGUGCAAGCGUUACUCGGAAUUACUGGGCGUAAAGCGUGCGUAGGCGGUUUGUUAAGUCCGUUGUGAAAGCCCUGGGCUCAACCUGGGAAUUGCAGUGGAUACUGGCGAGCUAGAGUGCGGUAGAGGAUGGUGGAAUUCCCGGUGUAGCGGUGAAAUGCGUAGAGAUCGGGAGGAACACCCGUGGCGAAGGCGGG